rnacentral:lncRNA from 1 species
UUUUCAUAAUUUAAGCAUUAAAAGGUUAAAACGUUUUCGGAAGGUAGAAAUACCAGUAGCAUUUAUGUAUAUCACACUUCUGCAAUCUUAUAAGAAUCCUUGAAUGGUGAUUCGAAACGAAUAAUUCGAAACAUCUGAAAGUCAGAGAUGAAGAUCGUGCUUGAUAAUAAGUUGUACAUGGAAGUAUAAAGUGUUCGAAAACCAUGGAGGACUACCACACGUACAAUUUAUUCUUGCCAUUGUCUCACGCGUGCAAGAUCACCGAAGUGCAAUAUUCGCUUAUAGAAUUCUACAGAAUCCGCAGAUGGCAGUUCGCUGAUGUAUUGCCAAGCAAUGGAUUACAUAAUCUCUAUCUUGUAGAUUGUAGGGGAACACGAAGUGAGUCAUCUAUCGAGCGAAUUGCCGUUGUGUACUCAUGCAUGUGCAAAUCGACAUGUUCGUCGAAGUGUACGAUUCGAUCUGUGUUUCCUGCUUAUUGUCAAGCGUGGUAUAAACAUUCGACACUAUUGAAAGUUUCAAUCCGAUUCUACUGCGUUUCAAAAAUAUUCCACAGGAAGCUGAUUCCACGAUUUCCACAACGCAUAGACAAAAUUGCACCUUGGUGAUCAUAAAGGAAUUAUAAUUUGAUGUUUCGCGACGCUGUACCACGUGCUCGCUCACGCUGUUAUUAAAUGUGAUGAUAAAGUUAGGUCACGAUGAGCAAGGUCUCGGUUUGUUGUUGCGUCACGAUGCAAUAUCUUGAUUACAAAGCACCUAUAUUACAUGAUACCUGGCCACACGACCUGCACACGUAUUUUCACGUCCAGCAGAAGAGGUUUGGAUCGGGGCCAAAUACUGCGAUCGUAUGACUAAUUUUCAAUGGCUGACUUUUAGUACUUCAGCGGUAUAAUACAUCUGAAAUCGUAAAGCCAAGUUGACAUAUAAUCAGUUGACAUUACGUGAUAAAACAUUCCCUCAAACGCUUAUGCAACAAACACGAUGUAUAGAAUUCUCAUUAAUUACGAAAUAAUUAUUGGAUCGAGUGAGAUUAUUGGUUGCAAGGAAGGAAAACGAGUUGACCAACUUUUCGGAUAGGAAUACAAACAUGUGAAGGGAAUUCAUGCUUACUAUAAAAGGAUAUAGGUAAACAAGUCCAGAGUACAGCCUUGCUCGGUAGGUUGAUUGUAAAACGAAAAAUGGAAAAACUUGACAAUACCGACCCACAAUUGGCACAGACGAUAAAUCAUGCUGAAAGAAUAUUUCAAACCGAUUUCAACGUGAAAAAAAUAAAUAUUUUCGAAAUCAUAAA